UACGGGGGGGGCAAGCGUUGUUCGGAUUCAUUGGACGUAAAGGGCGCGUAGGCGGCGGGGUAAGUCUGGUGUGAAAUCUAGGAGCUCAACUCCUAAACUGCACUGGAUACUGCUCUGCUAGAGGACUGGAGAGGAGACUGGAAUUCACGGUGUAGCAGUGAAAUGCGUAGAUAUCGUGAGGAAGACCAGUGGCGAAGGCGGGUCUCUGGACAGUUCCUGACGCUGAGGCGCGAAGGCCAGGGGAGCAAACGGG
rnacentral:rRNA from 1 species